rnacentral:rRNA from 1 species
GAUGAACGCUGGCGGCGUGCCUAAUUCAUGCAAGUCGAGCGAACAGACGAGGAGCUUGCUCCUCUGACGUUAGCGGCGGACGGGUGAGUAACACGUGGAUAACCUACCUAUAAGACUGGGAUAACUUCGGGAAACCGGAGCUAAUACCGGAUAACAUGUUGAACCGCAUGGUUCAACAGUGAAAGACGGUCUUGCUGUCACUUAUAGAUGGAUCCGCGCCGCAUUAGCUAGUUGGUAAGGUAACGGCUUACCAAGGCAACGAUGCGUAGCCGACCUGAGAGGGUGAUCGGCCACACUGGAACUGAGACACGGUCCAGACUCCUACGGGAGGCAGCAGUAGGGAAUCUUCCGCAAUGGGCGAAAGCCUGACGGAGCAACGCCGCGUGAGUGAAGAAGGUCUUCGGAUCGUAAAACUCUGUUAUUAGGGAAGAACAAAUGUGUAAGUAACUAUGCACGUCUUGACGGUACCUAAUCAGAAAGCCACGGCUAACUACGUG